rnacentral:ncRNA from 1 species
AUAAAUGCCGUGAAGAUAUUAUGCGGAAUUGACCCGUGCUUUCAGAGAGCCGUUGACAGGUGCGAAACGGUAAGCCGGCUAUUCGGCAGCCUCGUAUCGGAGCAGGUCCCCGGAACGCAAAGUAAGGGGGCACGGGUGAUCCCGUUACAGGUCAGGGGCUUGAUUGAGCCUGACGAGCGGUCUGUUUUUAACAGGCAAUACGGGUGGUACCGUGGUUAAUUUCUUAAUUAGUCAUCCCGCAG